UACGUAGGCGGCGUGCCAAGUCCGGGGUGAAAGGCGGGGGCUCAACCCCCGAGCUGCGCUGGAACUGGACAGGCUUGAGUGUCGGAGAGGGGAGUGGGAAUUCUCGGUGUAGCGGUGAAAUGCGUAGAGAUCGAGAGGAACACCCGUGGCGAAGGCGGCUCCCUGGCCGAACACUGACGCUGAGACGCGAAAGCGCGGGGAGCGAACGGG
rnacentral:rRNA from 1 species